UGGGCAAUCCCAAGCGGUAGGGAUUCGGUUUUUGGUACCGCCAUGCGCUGGUUCGAAUCCAGCCGCCCAGCCA
rnacentral:tRNA from 1 species